rnacentral:rRNA from 1 species
GACGAACCGUGCGAACGUUGUUCGGAAUUACUGGGCGUAAAGCGCACGUAGGCGGCUUUCUAAGUCGGGGGUGAAAUCCUGGAGCUCAACUCCAGAACUGCCUUCGAUACUGGAAGCUCGAGUCCGGGAGAGGUGAGUGGAACUGCGAGUGUAGAGGUGAAAUUCGUAGAUAUUCGCAAGAACACCAGUGGCGAAGGCGGCUCACUGGCCCGGUACUGACGCUGAGGUGCGAAAGCGUGGGGAGCAAACAGGG